ACGGUCAAAUCACGAAAACACCGGUUCUCGUUCGAUCACCGAAGUUAAGCAUCGUAGAGCCAGGUCAGUACUUAGAUGGGGACCG